GACGAACGCUGGCGGCGUGCCUAAUACAUGCAAGUAGAACGCUGAAGGAGGAGCUUGCUUCUCUGGAUGAGUUGCGAACGGGUGAGUAACGCGUAGGUAACCUGCCUGGUAGCGGGGGAUAACUAUUGGAAACGAUAGCUAAUACCGCAUAAUAGUAGAUGUUGCAUGACACUUGCUUAAAAGGUGCAAUUGCAUCACUACCAGAUGGACCUGCGUUGUAUUAGCUAGUUGGUGGGGUAACGGCUCACCAAGGCGACGAUACAUAGCCGACCUGGGAGGGGGAUCGGCCACCCUGGGACUGAGACACGGCCCAGACUCCUACGGGAGGCAGCAGUAGGGAAUCUUCGGCAAUGGACGGAAGUCUGACCGAGCAACGCCGCGUGAGUGAAGAAGGUUUUCGGAUCGUAAAGCUCUGUUGUAAGAGAAGAACGAGUGUGAGAGUGGAAAGUUCACACUGUGACGGUAUCUUACCAGAAAGGGACGGCUAACUACGUG
rnacentral:rRNA from 1 species